GAACCAAAAUACUCAAGGCAUUUACCUUUUGUAGAAGUGCCACUUGUCGGGAAGUUCUAGAAAGAUUCUCAGAACUUGACUUGUGAGUCCUCUGAACUUAACCAGGAAGAAAUGUGCUAGAAUUGGAACCUGAUCUAGAAGUACCCUGGAUUUGUUUUGGAAAUCUCCCGAACAUGCCCGUCUAAACUUCCUUUGUAAGACUUUUGAUGGCCUUGAAACUAUCGGAAGUCUUUUUGAAUUUGCGCAGAAAA